rnacentral:rRNA from 1 species
AUUGAACGCUGGCGGCAGGCCUAACACAUGCAAGUCGAGCGAGCGGCGGACGGGUGAGUAAUGUCUGGGGAUCUGCCCGAUAGAGGGGGAUAACUACUGGAAACGGUGGCUAAUACCGCAUACUAUCGGAUGAACCCAUAUGGGAUUAGCUAGUAGGUGGGGUAAAGGCUCACCUAGGCGACGAUCCCUAGCUGGUCUGAGAGGAUGACCAGGCACACUGGCACUGAGCCACGGUCCAGACUCUGGUGGGAUGCAGUAGUGGGGAAUAUUGAACAAUGUGCGGAAGCAUGAUGCAGCUAUGCCGCGUGUGUGAAGAAGGCCUUCGGGUUUUUAAUUAAUUGCAGCGAGGAGGCGUUACUCGCAGAAGAAGCACCGGCUAACUCCGUGCCAUCAGCCGCGGUAAUAC